GUUCCUUUGUCGUCAGUUCUAAUUGUUUAUGAAGAAGGGAUUGCUAGACACAACAAAGUGCCCUCAAGCUCAGAAAGAACAAAGCUUCUGCUUCCAGUUACGUCAUCUAUGUACAGUAUACGGCUGAUUUCUUGAAGAAUGUAUUCGGAUCAACAAUUUUUUCAGUCAAUCUCUCUACUCCUUCAUUUCAUGAUCAUAGACCAAACUUUUUCUAGAAUUUUGAUCUCUUUCCAAGGACAUCCUGCAGCACAUUUUGCUAUAGUUUUUCAGCGAAUAUCUCAUUGAAUCUCAACCAAUUCAACAUAGUUUGUGGCAGCCACAAAAGAAAAGUUUCUGGAGUAUGACAACUACUUUCAAAAUAAGUACCACACAAUUAAACAGGAAAUAACACUUUCAAACCAGGAACAGUAAUGUUUUUAAAUUCUGUUACAUGGUUUUUUUUAGUGGUUUGGUAUGAAUAAAAAAUUACUGUGCUUUCAUAGAAUACUUGAUGCUUUAGCUCACCUUUUUACAGUAGUGAAAGUAUUAGAAACUUGGAUUAAAUUCCAUUGAGUUUAAUAAAUGCCAGCAAGUAGGGAAUCUCAGACCUUCAGAUAUUCGAAUAUGUGGCGUAUAUUCACAGAACAUAAUUAAAAUGGUGACAGCAUAAGGACACCAACACCACCUACUAACCUAUUCUACUCCUCAGUGGUCCCACCCUCUAAUUCCAUUUUAAUAGUAAUUAUAGUUUUGCAUCCAAUCUCGUUCUUAAAUUUCAUAGG